UACGAGCUAUAAACUCUAAAAGUAAAACCUGACAGACCGACAAUGAAACGGAAAAUGAAAGAUUCGAUUUCUUUUUGACCAUUUAAAUAUUUCAGCCGCCGAGUGAAGUCUGCCGGUAAUCGCUGAAAGGAUUCUGCGAUCUUCUCUCCUCGGGGCUCUGUAGUGCUGUAAUAUUAUUGAUGUGAAUCCAUCUAAAGAACAGAUCAUUUGUGUUGUGGGUCUGUAAAAAAACACUUCAUGAGCUGUUGACGGCGGUUGAACUUUUCCAGGUUAUUUGGUCGCGUUGAGGAGGACCCAGGAUUGAACUGUGUGUGAUCUCUACUCAAACACAUCUGAAGUUAUAUCUGUGAUUUUAUUUUAUGUGUUUAUGUACUGUCAUGUUUGUGAAUGUGAUCAUUUUCUCAUGACUUCAAGCUCUUUUGUAACACUGUAGUUUAAUGUUGUUUAAACCGGUGGUUCCCGAACCUGUUCCUGGUGACCCACUGCUCCGCACAUUCUGCAUGUUUCUCUAAUCUAACACGUCUAGUCACAGGUUUGGGAACCUCUGAUUUAAGGCAUGUCUACAAGUGCUCUGAUGUAUAGAAGUGUUCAUUUAGUCAAUUAUGAAGUUAAUGCGCUGAUCAGUGUGUGCGGUGCCUCAAGAAAUUGAACAUGUCUAGUGCUGUCUGUCUUAUAAUAUGACACAAUGUGACAUAUGACUGUAUCAUAAAUCCGCUGCUGUAAUGUAAAAGACGGGUGUGUGGGGCUUUAUUCUGUGCUGCCGUCUACAGCAACAUUGGUGUAUCCACAACAAAAUUACACCAGGUCUGAUCAAAGCAGUCAGACUGAAACAGAUUUCUAGAAAUGAGAUCUGGAUAGAAUUUUAAAACCACAUAAAAAUGCAGCCUGAAACUGAUUUGUAAAAUUGUAUUUAACAUGAUUGUUUGUUGUUCACUCUUGCUACGUAUGAGCAGAUGUGCACAAAAAUCUGAUUUGGAAUAAACCAGUAA